rnacentral:rRNA from 1 species
GAUGAACGCUGGCGGCGUGCCUAAUACAUGCAAGUCGAGCGAACAGAUGAGGAGCUUGCUCCUCCGACGUUAGCGGCGGACGGGUGAGUAACACGUGGACAACCUACCUAUAAGACUGGGAUAACUUCGGGAAACCGGAGCUAAUACCGGAUAAUAUAUUGAACCGCAUGGUUCAAUAGUGAAAGACGGUUUUGCUGUCACUUAUAGAUGGAUCCGCGCCGCAUUAGCUAGUUGGCAAGGUAACGGCUUACCAAGGCAACGAUGCGUAGCCGACCUCAAGGGGAGAUCGGACACACUGGAACAGAGACACGGUCCAGACACCUGCGGGGAGCAACGGCAGGGAAUCUUCCGCAAUGGGGGAAAGCCUAACGGAGCAACACCGCGUGAGUGAUGAAGGUCUUCGGAUCGUAGAGCUCUGUUAGUAGGGAAGAAGAAAUGUGUAAUUAACUAUGCACGUCUUGACGGUACCUAGUCAGAAAGCCACGGCUAACUACGUG